CUGGGUGCUAUUUCCUGGUAAGAAAAAGAAGGAGAAAAUUUGAAGUAUGCUGGUGUCGCUAGUUCCAAUCCCACAAAGAGAGAUUUCUUAAGAAAACUAAGUGUGUGGUCACGAGAUGGAAUUUUAAGAACCCUAGUGGAAAUGUAUAAGGCAUUUUGAAUAUGAUGUAGAGCUUUUGAAAAAAAUAAUUAUUGGGGCCCCAAAGAGGUGCUUUAAUGAAGUAAGCUGAUGAUAGUGAAAGAAUUAAAAAAAAAAAAAAAUCACGAAAUCACUCUUCCUUGUCUGCUUUAUUUCUUAAAAGGGAAUUCUGAACCCUUCCUCCUCCUCAAAGAGAAACUGUAUCUCUGGUGAGAAAGAUUCCUAAUAUCUGUACAAUUUCAUUUUCCCAUUUCAGAGCCCAAGCUGCCCACGGGCCUGUGAAGAGUCCUCCACUGUUGCAGAGAGAAUUUCUAAGAUGAAAGAAGAUUUUUUUUUUCACGAUGAAGUCUCCAACAAUAAAAACCGGAGGCUCGCCUGCUUCACGAAGCCUGUGAAUUCUUUCUGAGCUAUCUUUGAGAACUUAUCCGAGGGAUCAAAAGCGUUUGAUAGUCUUCCAAAUGCUAAAAUCAGAGGAGGAAGCAUGAGCCGAAGUCAGUCAAAUUUGGAAUGACCUGAGUUUGCAACUGCUUCGUCUCCAGCCCUCACUUCUAGAAGUUGCUGGGACAGGUGUAUGUGAAUUCUUUGGCUAGAGAGAGAGAGCACAAGUAGAGAAGCAGGCAGAGAGAGUGGGAGAAGCAGGCUCUCUGCUGCAGAGAAUCUGAUGUGGAGCUGGAUCCCAGGACCCUGGGAUCGUGACCUGAGCCGAAGGCAGACACCCAACCGACUGAACCACCAAGGCAUCCCCAUUGUAACGAUUCUUCAAAAUACAUUUCCCAGAGCACAUAUGUACUUGCUCUGAACAAAUAAUAAAAUCAAAUAAGGGUUUAUUGAGGAAAGAGAAUUUAGGAGGCUAAUUAUACAUACCUUAUAUGUUUAUUGCUCAUUUUACAAAAGGACAUUAAAAAGUUUUUUAUUGUAAAAUAAAGCAUAAAGCCCAAUG